rnacentral:rRNA from 1 species
GAUUAACGCCAGCGGCAGGCAUAAUACAUGCAAGUUGAACGGCAGCACAGGUAGCAAUACUGGGUGGCGAGUGGCGCACGGGUGCGUAACACGUAUGCAACCUACCCUAUACAGGCGAAUAACCUUUAGAAAUGAGGGCUAAUACGCCGUAGUAUUACAGAUGGGCAUCUAUUUGUAAUUAAAGAUUUAUCGGUAUAGGAUGGGCAUGCGUCCCAUUAGUUAGUUGGUAAGGUAACGGCUUACCAAGACGAUGAUGGGUAGGGGAUCUGAGAGGACUUACCCCCACACUGGUACUGAGACACGGACCAGACUCCUACGGGAGGCAGCAGUAAGGAAUAUUGGGCAAUGGCCGCGAGGCUGACCCAGCCAUGCCGCGUGCAGGAAGACGGCCUUAUGGGUUGUAAACUGCUUUUAUACGGGAAUAAUAGAGUGUACGCGUACAUUUAUGCAAGUAUCGUAUGAAUAAGCAUCGGCUAACUCCGUG